rnacentral:rRNA from 1 species
UUUGGUAUCGUUAGGAGACCAACAGGGAUUACCUCAGUAACGGCGAGUGAAGCGGUAACAGCUCAAAUUUGAAAUCUGCUUCGGCCGAGUUGUAAUUUGUAGAAGAUGCUUCGGGUGUAGCUCCGGUCUAAGUUCCUUGGAACAGGACGUCAUAGAGGGUGAGAAUCCCGUAUGUGACUGGCUGCGUCGCCCAUGUGAAGCUCUUUCGACGAGUCGAGUUGUUUGGGAAUGCAGCUCAAAAUGGGUGGUAUAUUUCAUCUAAAGCUAAAUAUUGGCCAGAGACCGAUAGCGCACAAGUAGAGUGAUCGAAAGAUGAAAAGCACUUUGGAAAGAGAGUUAAACAGUACGUGAAAUUGUUGAAAGGGAAGCGCUUGCAAUCAGACUUGCGUGCUACCGAUCAUCCGGUGUUUUCACCGGUGCACUCGGUUGUACUCAGGCCAGCAUCGGUUUGGGUGGUUGGAUAAAGGCCUUGGGAAUGUAGCUUCUUUCGGGGAGUGUUAUAGCCCUCGGUGCAAUGCAGCCUACCUGGACCGAGGACCGCGCUUCGGCUAGGAUGCUGGCGUAAUGGUUGUAAGCGACCCGUCUUGAAACACGGACCAAGGAGUCUAACAUCUAUGCGAGUAUUUGGGUGUUAAACCCAUAUGCGUAAUUAACGUGAACGGAGGUAAGAGCCCUUAAGGGUGCAUUAUCGACCGGUCCUGAUGUCUUCGGAUGGAUCUGAGUAAGAGCAUAGCUGUUGGGACCCGAAAGAUGGUGAACUAUGCCUGAAUAGGGUGAAGCCAGAGGAAACUCUGGUGGAGGCUCGCAGCGGUUCUGACGUGCAAAUCGAUCGUCAAAUUUGGGUAUAGGGGCGAAAGACUAAUCGAACCAUUGACGGGAAUCACGGGGGAGUUUUGUAAAAUAGAACGCCUCCAGUGUACUAGGUGGUUAAGAGAUAUUUCAUUGAAAAAUGAUAUCUAGUCCAGAGUCAUGGGCAUUAUUUACCUAAUUUGCGGGACAUUCCUAUUUAAAUUCCAAACUACCGCAGCCGUCUUGAAAAAAGCGUGCGCACCAGGGUGGUAACAGUCUGGGGGAUUGG